rnacentral:tRNA from 1 species
GCCUGGGUGGCUCAGUGGUUGAGCAUCUGCCUUUGGUUCAGGUCAUAAUCCCGAGAUCCUGGGAUCAAGUCCCACGUCAGGCU